CCCUCCGCGGGCGGCCUGGGGCGGCGGUGCCGCCCCGCUCCCUCCUCCGUGCGGGGACGGAACGGGACGGGACGGGCGGCGGCCCCGGGCGCCCGGCAGCUAUUUCUGCUGCUGCUUCCUGUCCUUGACCCAAAGAUACAUUGUGAAGUUCUCCUGAGUCAGUGUUGCAGGAUCUUUAUUAUAGUCAUGCCUAGGUGACCAAAGGCAUGCCAUUUGUUAAAUUCUCUCCAUGCGGAGUUACAAAAUCAGGAAUCCUGGUAAAAUGCAGUGAAGGAUUUAAGGUCAUCAUCUGUCUCUCCCUAACUUCUGACAUCUCUUUAUAACAAGAAAGAGUCACAGCCAACUGUAACAGGAGGGCAACACAAUGAAUCCCAAGACAUAUUGAGCAUAAGUGACAAUGUUUAUGAAGCGCUCUGAAGAUGCAAAAGAUAUGCAAGUGCAGCUGAUGUCACCUGACAACAUUCGCUUACUAUUAAGGCUUUUCAGCCAGAAGACUAUCCCAAAGGAAAUUACUGUCAGCAGCCAAAAAGAGUAUCAGUAAUUCAUCCUCAAGCACCGUCAACUUAAUUCUAAAGUGAUGUCGCUGCUUUACAAGUUCAGGCUGAAGCGGUCUAAAAGUGCCACUUAAAGAACUUAGAUUCGGACACUUUCUGUGGAGAAUCAGCAAACGAUUUGGUGACAUACAGCCCCAAGUGCAGGACCAAGAGCCUGGCAGUCCAUGCGAGUGCACUCCCUGCCUUCAGCUCAGCCCACUGGUAAAAAUGUGCAGAAUUUAUUGUCCAGGGCACAGCUUAUUGCCACAGGCAGAGUGGAGCCUCAGCACGCAUUCAGAUUCAGAACUGCAACCAGCACUUAGUGAAUAGCAGCCACUUUCUGAGUCUCAGCACACUAUGAAAAUCCUUCUUGAAUCAAAUGCCCCCGGGGGAGUGAGAAAUUAAAGAUCCUCUUCCACUCUGGGCUGGGGCAUGCCACUAGAUCAAUGCUCGGCAUAAAGAGCUUUCUGCUUGUCAGUGCAGGGUAGGGGUGGCAGUCGGGGCGGACGCUCCUUGUAACAAGCAAACCAACAGGCGACAUACCAAGUAACAUGAGAAAAUGACAGUGGUGGUGAAGACCAGGAGGAAAGUACAGUAGUGAGGGGCCCUGCGAUGCCUGAAUUGGAAAGCAUUUUGCCUCUCAGCUUGAACUUUUUAAUUAAGGAAUUUCACAGUAAUUUCAACUAUGUUUAAAGAGCAAUCAUUUCAGUGCUCUCACUCACUAAAUAUUUCUUGCAGUCUAACUAAGCAGUGACAGAGAUGGGAGCUGAAUUCCUUCAGCUCCACUGCAUUAACAGCAACUCCUUUCCAGCCUACGCUGCAGGUCGGUGCUGUCCUGUGGCAGCCUUCUUGGGCUUACAGGGUGUGGAAAGCUCACACAGGGCCGGUACUGUCCCUGGCUGGCACUCAGGACCCAUGUGUACUCAGACACAGUCCCAGGCAGCACAGGCUGUGGGAAAUAUUUUCUGUCAUUUCCUAGAGGGGCAGGGAGGGAAGGGAGGACGCUGGUCGCUGUAGGAGGGGCAGUAGGUACGGCUGAAUUGGAAGGAGGGGAAGGGCUCAGGGAUAUAAUGAGGAGGUGGGGGAAAUGACACGGGAAUGAAAGGGUGAGUGAGUGUAUGAGAUACCCACUCAUCCUGGCCUUUCUCUGUUCAAAGCACUCCCUCAAAGGGUGGGUACAAGACUUGAACAGAGGGGAUGGAUGUCAAAAUGUUUCCAUAAAGAAUAUAGUGUAAUAAAUCAGAGAAAAGGGCAGAAAGGAGGCAAGGAGCAAACGGUAGGAGAAUUAUUUUUAUUCUGAGUGAAUGAUUAUGUCUCCUGGGUGAUUACACAUCGGGGUGGUGGUGUGUUGGGGAGGACUAUUCAGCUAGAGAGAAAGGAGUGCUCAAAUUGCAAUCAUUGAACUAUAGUGCGUGCAAGGGUGUAAAUAAGAUAAGAAAAGGUCAGCGAAGAGAAAAUCCAGCUGGAUUCAACAUAUCUGGGGCACUGCAGUCUUCAGGAUUUAAGACAACUAUCAUACAGGAGUAGGAGAGCUUUCAGAGGAAGAUAGUUUGAAUACUGGCAGAGCAUAAUCAAAUAGCUGCUGGGGUAAACAGCAAAGACUAUAAAAAAAUACUGAGAACACGUAACUUGCAAGUGCUGGGUCAAGUACAAGACCAAUGAUUUCUUUCAAGUUGUCUACCAAAGCAGGCCUCUAGCAAGAAAUACCUGCUACUAACAUGCACCUAUAAAAAUCAUAUCAGUAUAGGGCUGGAGAAAGACAAGUGAUACAACGCCAGUGUCAUGUAUCCAUGCAUUAUCCUUCAGUGAGCUUCUGGUAGGAAAAGGUUUUAGUAGUGCUGCAACAGUUCCUGGGGCAUUAGGAAAAUUGUGUGACAUUAGGAGCUCUGGAAAAAUAGUUGCCAUGUUUUCUCAAUAGCUUAGCAGAUGUUUUUACUCUCACUACUACCUGUUGCUGCCAACUGGCUCUUUCCCAUUUUGACUGAAAUAACAGAUAACUUUCAAAUCUGAACCAGGUUUAACUUUAAUCUGUUUGGUCCCUUGGAGCUAUGGCUUGACCAAUAUAUGCCAGUGAUGACUGUAUGUAAGACCAAUGGCUUUUUGUGUGGUCUUGGUAUUGCCAGGCACUGCCUUCACUGUUCUAUUUAGCAACUGUUGUAUCAUCCAUUGCACAGUGAUGGUUCGGGAACUUCUGUCACUGGAAUGGCGACCUGAAAUAACAAAGGUCAUUCUCUCUUUGUAAUUAGCAUGAAGACUAUCCUUCAGUCAAAACUAGCCACCUGGAAAGUUUCAGCUUGUAAUAUGCAGCUUUUUUGUGAAUUAUGAAUGUGCAAAAAAAAGAGACCUUUCUCCCCACACCCCCUUCCUUGCAUAAUUCAAAUAUGAAUGAAUGAAUUUUAUUCAGGCUUACAAAAAAUAAAAAAAUAAAAAAAUCAUAUUUCAGCUGAAAACAAGCAUGAGAAAUUUCAGAUGAAAGGGAAAUUUUUUAAAGAAUAUUAUGAGCAUGGGCGAACAGCAGGUUAAGAUGGAAGGCUCAGUGCAGCCUUAGCUAUAACAAUUGCUAGCAAGCAAAUACUAUAUCCAAGCACUAAAUCUUGCUUUGUGCUGCCCUGGUGCACAGUAGUGGGGAGAGAAUAGAAUAAUAAAAGCCGGUCCCCUUAUGCAAACAGCAGGGCAUAGCACUCAACAGAAUACAAGAAGAAGGUGAGCCUGCCUACUGUUCUGUCUUGCUAACCAUAUUCCUGAGGUCUGUGGGUUAGUUGUCACCCCUAGCUCCAGUCAGCUAGCAAAUGUACUUCAAACAAUAGCAAGGGGCACAUUUUGGGCCUUUCCAGAAGAACAUUGUACCAAUUCUUUGCCUCCAAAUACACUGUUCUGUUAAAUAAAGUAUUUGAAGGAAGUUCAUAUAAGCAACACGGUGGUUUAACAGGUCAAAAAGGGAGUGGAACAGCUGCUAGAUUUUUUCUGAUUAACUGUGUAUGUUAAAAAAUACAGAGCUGUGAAGAAGGCAUUACGUGCAAGCCCUCGCUUACCUUCCUGCUUUUCAAGUGAAGCACCCCCAGAUUUCGGCUCAUGCCAAUACCACUUUGAAAAUGAACUUUCACAAGAACUAAAGUAUGAUCUGGAACACCUUUCUGCACUGCUUUUUCUCUUGCUCCUAAUACUGCUCUGGUGAGAAGUCUGUCUCAUAUUUUCUGCCCAGAAAACAAUAUUAAAGAAGCAUUCACUUACUGCUAAUAAAAAACUGUCCACCACUGUGGCUAAAGACUAAUCAGCACUUCAGAAUUUAUGCAUGGCAAGCUCAGACAUACAUAAAAAAUAUCUUCUAUUCUGACAAGAGUUGCCUGUUGCAAGUUGAAUUUGGCAGUAAGUGACCAAAAUUGAGUUGUCAGCAGCCUCUUGCAUAGUAGGAAAAGUUGUUGCUUUCUUGUGCAGAUGCAAGAGUUUCUGUGGGAAAAACAGAACAUAAUCAUGGUUCUGAAUGUCUCCGCGGAUUGGUAAUGUCUCUAAUACAUAGAUCACUUGUGCAAAUUCAGUCCCAGCUGGAUGGGAAAUUAUUGAAAAUGGUUGUUGUUUGAUUGAUAUAAAAUGAGUUGUCAGCUUGAUUCAAUGCCUCCAGGGCAGAUGUCCACAGCGUAAUUGGCACCUGUCAGAAGCAAAGAAUUCCUUGGUACAGAGUAACAACUACUCAGGCAGCCACCCCAAAAUAGUCCUUGCAUGCCAGGGCUCGGAGGGAAGGCAGGCAAAAAAUAGUUUCUACUUUUGGGCAGAAUCUUUUAUGCCAUAAAAUUGGUAAGAGAUUUGACAUGACACUUGGUGCAAGGUUUUUCUUGGCUAGAGACUAUCCAGUCAGCUCCCCUGCUGCUUGGGCAACACUUUCCCUAAGAAUCAGAGGAAAGCACAUACAUUUAUAUAUUUGUUAAUAUCGUCAUGGUAAGGGUGUAUUUAUAAAGACUUUUUUUUAAUGUAUUUACUUACUAAAAGAAAUGCUGUGAAGAAUUUUAUUUUCCUACAUCUUGAGCAAUUUUCCUCAUAGCAAUGACAACCAUACAACUAGGGAAAUAAGAGAAAGUCUUCUCAGAAAAAAAUAUGGCAAAGAAACCACCACUACUGACAGUGCAGCAGUCAGUACUAACUGUUUGCUAAUGGUAAAGAGCAACCCAUUGUUUACCACUGACUGGAAUAAAACUGAUUUUUUUCCUACAAGUCACCAAAUAGCUGUCAUAUGGUUGUUACUGCCUUUGACCGAGUCUGGUACAGCUAACAACAGGAAUGAAUUCAAUUUCCCGUCACCAAUCUGUCGAGCUGGCCACCUUCUUCAUGGAGCUGCUGCUCUGGGAGGUGCCAGCUGAAGGGCUUUCCAUUAAAAUUCAUUUUACUGUCUUCAUCUAGCGAAUGGCUCAACUUUCCUUCUUUCAUCUCUGUUUCCUCCUUUAGAUUAUUUUUCAUUAUGCCUCCCCCCCAACGUACAGACACUUUUCCUUUCAUCUCUAUAUGUAUGCUAUUCCAGCACUUGUCAGCCACAGCAGGAGGGACAUGGUAGAACCAAACAAUAUGAUAUGUUAGGUGGAAGAAAAUAUUAUUAUCAGAUGCCUCAGAACAAUCAUUUAUUGUCACACUUUAAAGAGGUCUGCUAUGUUAUUUAUUUUAUUAUUCUGUAUUAGGUACAUGGUUUAAUUUUACAGGCAUUAUUAAUCACUGAAAUACAUUACACUUUCAGCCAGGAUGUUAACAUUUUAAAUGCAUUCAUCUUGCUUCUUUAAACAGAAACAAUGGGCCUUCUGCAGUGCCCUCCCUCCCCUUUAGUCAAUAAAUCCUUUCUAUUGAUUCAGGAAAUAACUCUAAGCACUGUUUUAUAUUUUAAGUUCUACUAGCCAGGCUCAGCCAUAUAAUUUUGCUUAAUAACAAGUGGAUCUUCUAUUUUUGCUGGUUACUACGUGUUUGGUUAUCAAACUCAGUUUGAAUGUACUGGGUAGCAAAGCACAACACUUAUAAAGGCAGAGAGGCACCACAAGAGAUUUCCUAAAUGAAUGUUACAACAAAAUAAAGUA